rnacentral:rRNA from 1 species
UACAGAGGUCUCAAGCGUUGUUCGGAUUCAUUGGGCGUAAAGGGUGCGUAGGCGGCGCGGUAAGUCGGGUGUGAAAUCUCGGAGCUUAACUCCGAAACUGCAUUCGAUACUGCCGUGCUUGAGGACUGGAGAGGAGACUGGAAUUUACGGUGUAGCGGUGAAAUGCGUAGAUAUCGUAAGGAAGACCAGUGGCGAAGGCGGGUCUCUGGACAGUUCCUGACGCUGAGGAGCGAAAGCAUGGGUAGCGAACAGG